CCCUCUGGACUCAAAACUUUGCUCUAGGCAGAGCUAUAUGAUGAUUACUACACUACUGAAAAGGUGUCCUCAUUUUUUAUAGAUGUUUCCAUGUGUUAUGAUCUGAUUAUGGAGAGAUGCCUCUGUCUGAAUUAAGAUCUAAGUCACUCAAACUCCACCUGAUCAUGAAUGACAUCAAGUGAAAUUUUAUCUUUUCCUCAUCCUCAAAGAAAAUAAUAUGAAUAUAACCAAAGAGGGGACUGGAAUCAGAGGAGACUCCACUUUUGCAUCCUUGGACAAAGGGCUGUACCCAUCUCUUCCCCAUAGGAACACCUAUCAGUUUAAGUGCAGCUGUCAACCAAGUACCACACAGCCACUUGCUCACUUUCCCCUGAUAGAAUGAGGGACAGAAUCAGAAGAGUGAAAGUGAGAG